rnacentral:rRNA from 1 species
GACAGAGGGUGCAAACGUUGUUCGGAAUUACUGGGCGUAAAGCGCACGUAGGCGGAUUGGUCAGUUAGGGGUGAAAUCCUGGAGCUCAACUCCAGAACUGCCUUUAAUACUGCCAGUCUUGAGUUCGGGAGAGGUGAGUGGAACUGCGAGUGUAGAGGUGAAAUUCGUAGAUAUUCGCAAGAACACCAGUGGCGAAGGCGGCUCACUGGCCCGAUACUGACGCUGAGGCACGAAAGCGUGGGGAGCAAACAGG